UACGAGGGGUGCAAGCGUUGCUCGGAAUUAUUGGGCGUAAAGGGUAGGUAGGUGGCCUCAUUUGUCUGGGGUGAAAUCCUUGAGCUUAACUCAAGAAGUUCCCUAGAAACGGUGAGACUUGAGUACUGGAGAGGAUCGUGGAAUUCCCGGUGUAGCGGUGAAAUGCGUAGAGAUCGGGAGGAACACCAGUGGCGAAGGCGACACGCUGGGCCGUACCUGACACUGAUGCGCGACAGCAUGGGGAGCAAACAGG
rnacentral:rRNA from 1 species